GCCGGGCAUGGUGGCUCAUGCCUGUAAUCCCAGCACUUUGGGAGGCUGAGGCAGAUGGAUCACCUGAGGUCAGGAGUUCGAGACCAGGCUGGCCAACAUGGCGAAACCCCAUCUCUACUAAAAAUACAAAAAUUAGCCGGGCAUGGUGGCAUGUGCCUAUAAUCCCAGCUACUAAGGGGACUCAGGCAGGAGUAUUGCUUGAACCUGGGAGGUGAGAUCGUGCCACUGCACUCCAGCCUGGGCAACAAAGCGAGACUCUGUCUCA
rnacentral:sRNA from 1 species